GCUCAUUUCCCCGCCCCACAUCUCCUUCUCGGCUUCCUCGCUUCGUCUUCCUCGAUUUCAAACGCAAAGCUGUGCUCGGUCGCUCGCAUACAUGGAGCAGAGGAGCCUGCUCGCGUCGGCCGUCGGCGUCGGCGUCGGGGUGGGGCUGGGGCUCGCGUCGGCAAGGUGGUCGAAGCCGGCGAACUGCGCCGAGGGUGGCGGCGGCGGCGCGGGUCCAGCGGAGGUGGAGGCGGAGCUGCGGCGGCUGGUGGUCGACGGCAGCGAGAGCGGCAUCAACUUCAAGGAGUUCCACCAUCUCCAUUGCUACCUCAGCGAGCAGACCAAGGAAGUCCUCAUCAGCGCGGCUUUCGUGCACCUGAAGCAAGCGGAUUUGUCCAAGCACAUCCGGAACCUCUCCGCCGCCAGCCGCGCGAUACUGCUCUCUGGCCCCACAGAACCUUACCUGCAGUCGCUUGCGAGGGCUCUGUCGCACUACUACAAGACCCGGCUGCUGAUCCUCGACAUCACGGACUUCUCGCUUCGGAUUCAGAGCAAAUAUGGGAGCUCCACUAAAACCUUGGUUCAGAACCAGUCCAUGUCCGAGACAACCUUUGGGAGGGUGUCUGAUUUCAUUGGAUCUUUUGCAAUGUUCCCUAAGAAGGAUGAGCCUAGAGAAUCAUUGCGUCGUCAGACGAGCAGUGCAGACUUCAGAGCUAGAGGCUCUGACGUCAUUGCUAGCAGUGACCCUUCAAUUCGGAAAAAUGUUUCAAUGCCCUCUGAUACGAGUGAUCUUGCCUCACAAUGUUCUGGACAUUCAGCUAGGCGAGCCAAUAGCUGGUGUUUCGAUGAGAAAGUAUUGAUACAGUCACUUUACAAGGUCAUGAUUUCUGUGGCUGAAAGUGAUCCAAUUAUUCUUUACAUAAGGGAUGUUGAUCACUUCCUUCAUAGAUCACAAAGAACGUACUCUAUAUUCCAAAAAAUGUUAAGCAAAUUAUCUGGGCAAGUGUUGAUACUUGGUUCCCGGUUACUAAAUUCUGGCGCUGAGUAUAAUGAUGUGGACGAGAGAGUUAGUGGCAUGUUCCCUUAUCAUGUCGAUAUUAAACCUCCAGAAGACGAGAUCCAUCUCAAUGGUUGGAAAAUUCAAAUGGACGAAGAUGCAAAGAAAAUCCAAAUUCAAGACAACAGAAAUCAUAUCGUAGAGGUACUCUCAGCCAACGAUCUAGACUGUGAUGAUUUGAGCUCAAUAUGCCAAGCAGAUACUAUGGUUCUCAGCAAUUACAUAGAGGAAAUUAUUGUGUCAGCAGUCUCUUACCAUUUGAUUCAUAACAAGGAUCCAGAAUACAAAAAUGGAAAACUCCUCCUAUCUUCUAAGAGUUUGUCCCAUGGAUUAAGCAUUUUCCAAGAAAGCGGGCACGGUGGGAAAGACACCCUGAAAAUGGAAGCAAACGAUGAAUCAAAGGAUGGUUUGAAAGGUGCUGCUGGAUCUAAGAACAGCGAGACUGAUAAAUCAGGCACAAUGCCAGUUAAAGAUGGCGACGCUCCACCACCAAAACCAGAAAUACCAGACAAUGAGUUUGAAAAGCGUAUCAGGCCAGAGGUUAUACCAGCCAAUGAAAUAGGAGUGACAUUUGAUGACAUCGGAGCCCUGGCUGAUAUCAAAGAAUCCCUUCAAGAGCUAGUAAUGCUUCCUCUUCGACGGCCAGAUCUUUUCAAAGGAGGACUUCUGAAGCCUUGCCGGGGAAUAUUACUAUUUGGGCCACCUGGAACUGGCAAGACAAUGCUUGCUAAGGCUAUAGCAAAUGACGCGGGUGCCAGCUUCAUUAAUGUUUCAAUGUCCACCAUCACAUCCAAAUGGUUUGGGGAGGAUGAGAAAAAUGUCCGAGCGUUGUUCAGUUUGGCUGCGAAGGUUGCUCCUACUAUUAUUUUUGUAGAUGAGGUAGAUAGUAUGUUGGGACAACGCGCACGAUGCGGGGAACAUGAGGCAAUGAGGAAGAUCAAGAAUGAGUUCAUGAGUCAUUGGGAUGGUAUAUUGUCCAAGUCAGGUGAAAGGAUUCUUGUUCUUGCAGCGACAAACAGGCCAUUUGACCUUGACGAAGCCAUCAUUAGGAGAUUCGAGCGCAGAAUCAUGGUUGGCCUUCCAACUCAGGAGAGCAGAGAGUUGAUUCUAAGGACAUUGUUGUCAAAAGAGAAAGUUGAUAAAGACAUUGAAUUCAAGGAGCUUGCAACCAUGACCGAAGGGUACAGCGGCAGUGAUCUUAAGAAUCUUUGUGUAACAGCUGCUUACCGCCCGGUUAGGGAGCUCCUCAAGAAAGAACGAUUAAAGGAGCUGGAAAGAAGGGAAAAGGAGGCAAAACAGAAAACUACUGCCGUAGACGCUUCUGACAAUCCAGAGAGCAAGGAGGAAAAUUCAGAUAGCAAGGAAGACAAUCCAGAAAGCAAGGAUGGUAACUCGGAAGCGAAGGCAGAAAGUGACAAGGAGGCAGGCAUCGACCUUAGGCCACUGACGAUGGAAGACCUGAAGCAGGCCAAGAAUCAAGUUGCCGCGAGCUUUGCUGCCGAGGGCGCUGUCAUGAACGAGCUGAAGCAAUGGAAUGAACUCUACGGUGAAGGUGGCUCCAGGAAGAAGCAGCAAUUAACAUACUUCUUGUAGAGAAGAUGAACGAAUAUUGGCAUACAAAUGCGACCAACAAUUGGGGAGAAGUGGAGUUGCCGCUGAGCAGAGCAGAAGCUAGCAGUAACACUGUUGGAAGGAUUAUUCAAUUGGGGAGAAGUGGAGUCCCGUUGAGCAGGACAGAGUAUCUUCGAAGGAUUGUAGGUGUUGGACAUGUAAAAUUCUUUUAUAGGGGCAAGUAAUUUCGGAUGCACAUCAUUAUAUUUUGGUUCAGGCUGCUAGAGGUGGAACACGGUUCAGAGGAUUGCAGGCUGACUGGGAAGUUGCUGUUUGCUGAAGACCUGGAGAAAGAUGCUGCUGUUGUCUUCUUCAGUCUGUUCGCAAAGGGAAAAAUACUGAGUCUGUCUGCUGUUGACAUACUUUGGCUGAAACUGUAAUAUGGUUCAGCUUGCUGGCCUAGUCGGACCUGGUAUCUUGUAGAAACCUUGGUUUCAUUAACGGAAGCCGGAGGGGGAAAGCCCCUCUUUUUAAAAAAAAAUAUCUUUACAUUAA